ensembl:snRNA U6 U6 spliceosomal RNA
GCUUCCUUCAGCAGCACCUAUUCUAAAAAAUUGGAAUGAUUCAGAGAAGAUUAGCAUGGCCCCUGUGCAAGGAGGACAUGCAAAUUUGUGAAGCAUUCCAUUAAAAA